CCUGAUGGUGCCUCCACUACGCCACCUGCUGUCACAAGGUGUCUUGUCACUGAAGACCUCUUAGCCCUUCACCCUUUCACUCUGAUCUCAGGUGAACUUCAGUGAUGACAGUGACUUGGAAGACCCUGUCUCAGCUGAGGCCUGGCUGGCAGAGGAGCCUAAGAGACGGGGCACUGCUUCCUGGGGCCGGGGGCGAGCAAGGAAGGGUCUGAGCCUAAAGACGGAUGCCGUGGUUGCCCCAGGUAGUGCCCCUGGGAACCCUGGCCUGAAUGGCAGGAGCCGGAGGGCCAAGAAGGUGGCAUCAAGACAUUGUGAGGAGCGGCGUCCCCAGAGGGCCAGUGACCAGGCCAGGCCUGGCCCUGAGAUCAUGAGGACCAUCCCUGAGGAAGAACUGACUGACAACUGGAGAAAAAUGAGCUUUGAGAUCCUCAGGGGCUCUGACGGGGAAGACUCAGCCUCAGGUGGGAAGACUCCAGCUCCGGGCCCUGAGGCAGCUUCUGGAGAAUGGGAGCUGCUGAGGCUGGAUUCCAGCAAGAAGGAGCUGCCCAGCCCAUGCCCAGACAAGGAGAGUGACAAGGACCUUGGUCCUCGGCUCCCCUCAGCCCCCGUAGCCACUGGUCUUUCUACCCUGGACUCCAUCUGUGACUCCCUGAGUGUUGCUUUCCGGGGCAUUAGUCACUGUCCUCCUAGUGGGCUCUAUGCCCACCUCUGCCGCUUCCUGGCCUUGUGCCUGGGCCACCGGGAUCCUUAUGCCACUGCUUUCCUUGUCACCGAGUCUGUCUCCAUCACCUGUCGCCACCAGCUGCUCACCCACCUCCACAGACAGCUCAGCAAGGCCCAGAAGCACCGAGGAUCACUUGAAAUAGCAGACCAGCUGCAGGGGCUGAG
rnacentral:sRNA from 1 species